UAUUCGGUUUAAUAUUACUAGCUAGUUAGCCCUCUCAGCCCGAAACAAAUAUUUUUUUCCAAUUCCUCAAUCAAUUUUGUACAGGAUUGGUUAAUUUUUAGAAUGAGGUUCAAACAAAAACGGCCAAAAUCUGUUUGUUAUUUUACAGCCCUGGCGAAAUUGUUGAUAGGAGGAGGAGAGUGCAGCAGCAGCAGGACCUGAGCCUUAGAAGGAGGAGAAUGGAGCAAGUUUAAGCCUUAAAAGAAGCGCAGGUCUAAACCGUAGAAAGAGCAGGUCUAAGCCUUAAAAGGAGGCAGGUCUAAGCCUUAGAAGGAGCAGGCCUUAGCUUUAGAAGGGGUCAGAUGGAAAUUUAAAAACUCAGCAAAGAAAAGCCACUGAAACCCAAACACGAAGCGUUAAUGAGAGACCCCUUCUCUUCUCGCUCCCCAAAAGCCAUCGCCUCGCCCUGUGAGGGAGUGAGAGAAGGUGAGCCCCCAGGGGCAGAAGAGGAACCAUAACGGAUGGCCAGCAGGCAGAAGUGGCGACUUUUUGAUACCUAUUGCUACCCAUCUACAUUAUAUGGAAAUUGUCAAAGCAGGCCAAGAGCUAAGCAGCAAUAGAUAUAGAAAAUAUAUAUAUAAAUCAAAUCUGAAGCAGAAGCAGAACGGAUCUCAAAUAAUACAAAGCAAAAAAAAAAAAAGGAAAAGUGAAUAAGAAAAUCGAAAGUCUAGAAUGGGCCCAAAACGAAAUUUGAGAGAGUUGAAAGAUUAUAAUAGAGAGGAAUGGGAAGACCUUCAAGUCUUUCGGGCGAGAUUGAUGCAAUGGAAUAAUGCGUUCAAACGCUUAAAUAGAACUAUACUAAACUUAUUUUUCUUCAUCUUAAUUGGCAUACUCAUUGGCAAAUAUGUAUUAUAAAUUUAACAAAUUUAAAAUCAUUUAAAUAAAUGGAUAUGCCCUCUUUA